AUUGAACGCUGGCGGAAUGCUUUACACAUGCCAGUCGAACGGCAGCACGGGGGCAGCCCUGGUGGCGAGUGGCGAACGGGUGAGUAAUACAUCGGAACGUGCCCGGUCGUGGGGGAUAACGUAGCGAAAGUUACGCUAAUACCGCAUACGAUCUGAGGAUGAAAGCGGGUGACCUUCGGGCCUCGCGCGAUCGGAGCGGCCGAUGUCAGAUUAGGUAGUUGGUGGGGUAAAGGCCUGCCAAGCCGACGAUCUGUAGCUGGUCUGAGAGGACGACCAGCCACACUGGGACUGAGACACGGCCCAGACUCCUACGGGAGGCAGCAGUGGGGAAGUUUGGACAAUGGGCGCAAGCCUGAUCCAGCCAUUCCGCGUGCAGGACGAAGGCCUUCGGGUUGUAAACUGCUUUUGUACGGAACGAAAAGGCUCUGGCUAAUACCUGGGGCUCAUGACGGUACCGUAAGAAUAAGCACCGGCUAACUACGUG
rnacentral:rRNA from 1 species